rnacentral:tRNA from 1 species
GCCCAGGUAGCUCAGUUGGUUAGAGCACACGCAUGGUAAGCGUGAGGUCGGCGGUUCAAUUCCGCCCCUGGGCU